rnacentral:lncRNA from 1 species
UUUUAAAUCUGUCUUCCUUGCUAGACAGUAACCUUUGUUAGGGCAGGGACUAUGUUUUCCUCACUCCUUCAUCCCUAGCAAGGACUAUACUCCUAGAAAGUACUAAGUAUAUAGCAGGUGCUCAAUAAAUACCUGUUAAAUGAAUGAAUGAAUGGAUCAGGAUUGUGCGUGGUUAAGACAGUGGGCUUAGAGAUCUUGCUUUGAAUCCUGGGUUUAACAGUUAUUACUAUGUAAUCCUAGACCCAUCAUUCAGCUUCUCAAUACCUCCAUUUCCUUAGGUGUGACAUGGAAACGCUCCCUUGGGAUUGCUGGAUCAGGUGAGCAAACGCAGGUCAGGUAUCCAUCACAGGGUCUGUGUGCAGUGAGGCCUCAGCCAUUUUUCCUAAGCCAGAGCUUCUUCCAACAUCAUAUGCUGCCUGGAAAUUCUGAUGAAGGAACCGAAGAAUCUUCAAGGCGGAGGUAAUUUGAGCUGGGCCCUGAAGGAGGAGUAAGAUUCCAGCUUAUGUGGCCAGGGCCAGAUUUCUUUCCUGAGUUCAUCCAACUACAAAAUGGAGAUGAUGACACCCAGUUUCUGUCUCCCUCUGGGAGCGCUGGUCUGGCUUAAAGUCUCUCAAGAGGAAAAACAUCAUACAAUUAAAAGGCACCAUCGUUAUUCAACUGGAAAAGUGCCUUCCCGGGACAAGUGAUUCUGCUUGUGCUGUGUAUGAUUGGAUAUUUAGUGUGAAUUUAACCCAGGGUGUCAACUGUGCUGUCAGUUAGAGCUAAGUGUAAUGGGGCACUUAGUAAAUGUGGAGGUAAUUAAAGCCAUCCAGAUGCUGGAUGUGGGUGAGCUUUGUGCUGCCUCUGGGACUGAAAUGCUUUAGAGAGAUGAAGUUCUGGAGUCUCUUUUUGGGGUGCACUGGGAGUGUAAGUCCCGGCGUUGGCCUUUGCUGCUGCUGUACCCUUCUGCUGGAGACUGAAAGCCACCUAUUCUGGGAAGCCUUCCCUGAUCACCAAGACAGAAUCUGAUGUUCUGGGUUUUCCUGGCACCGCACACACUUCUCACAAUAUCCUAUUAUCUUAGUUUGUUUCUAUGCCCAUCUCCCCCAACUGGAGUCCAAGAUAUUGUCCCUAGGAUUUUUCUGACAUACAGUUAGUGCUCAAUAAGUGUCUGCUGAAUGAAGCUUUUCAGGUUUCACAACCAUGGGAAAUCUUGGGUCUCAAGAACAGAUCAAGGUGUUUGAUUUUCCUGGGAAGGGUAGACCCUGUGUAGUUCUGGCAAGUGAUCCCUCUUCUGAUGGAAAUUCUGUUUGAUGCCCUCCCUAGUGAGGCCAGGGUGGCAACGUGAGCCUAUCCUCCUUUGCAGCAGACCUGAGCCCUGUAGAUUUACAGAUAUCUGAGUGUGGAAUCCAGCCCUGAGUCCACACCUUGUAGAAAGCAGGAGGAGAGCAGGCCUUGAACAACUGAAGUUGCUUAUCUGCUAUGAGCCUCCUGGAGGCCCAAAUAAAGAAUCCAGAAUGUGGCGAGUCUCCACUGCUGCCUGGGCCCUGUUGCCUCUAAGAUGAACUUAUCGCUGACCUUUCUGGCACAUGGAGAAUGUCCCCACUGCCCGGAGAAGAGAGGCCUCUCCUUGUGGUCCUGCAUUCUGGACUCAGUGGGAUCCACCGCACUCAGCAUUCUUGGCUUCAUGCUGGAGCUGAGCGUAAGGUGAGAAGGAGUUGCUGGGAACACUGUGAUACCUGGCUCAGGCAGGAACCACCCAAGUCAGGCAUGAUCAGAUCUUGGACUGACAGCCACCUGCUCUGAACAAGGCCCUGGACUCUGGACUUACCACUGUCUCUGACCAACCCUUCCAGCUGGCCUUUCUACCUCCAGAUUCGGAGUCUGGAGUCAGGCUUCUGGCUGGUCAUGGUUAGGUCCAGUGUCCAUGCUCCAGCAGGAAUUGAGGGGAGCGUGUCCCUCCCAUUCGUCUGCCAUUAUCUCCCUGCUUCUUGGGAUUCCCACAAAUGGGGUCUCAGAUGCUGGGCAGCCCAAGUGACAAAU